GCUUGCCGGACCUGACUGCUAUCGGAUUGGUACUAAGCCAUGCGAGUCGUUGUAGCAAUACAAGGCGGACGGCUCAGUAACACGUAGUCAACCUAACCUAUGGACGUGGAUAACCUCGGGAAACUGAGAAUAAACCGCGAUAGAUCAUUAUGCCUGGAAUGGCUUAUGGUUCAAACAAUUUAUUGCCGUAGGAUGGGACUGCGGCCUAUCAGCUUGUUGGUGAGGUAAUGGCCCACCAAGGCUAUAACAGGUACGGGCUCUGAGAGGAGAAGCCCGGAGAUGGGUACUGAGACACGGACCCAGGCCCUAUGGGGCGCAGCAGGCGAGAAACCUUAGCAAUGUGCGAAAGCACGACUAGGUUAAUCCGAGUGAUUUCUGUUGAAGAAAUCUUUUGUCAGUCGUAAAACCACAGACGAAUAAGGGGUGGGCAAGUCUGGUGUCAGCCGCCGCGGUAAUACCAGCACCUCGAGUGGUCAGGAGGUUUAUUGGGCCUAAAGCAUCCGUAGCCGGCUACGCAAGUCUCCGGUUAAAUCCAGCUGCUCAACAGAUGGGCUGCCGGAGAUACUACAUAGCUAGGGAGCGGGAGAGGUAGACGGUAUUCUGUGGGUAGGGGUAAAAUCCACUGAUCCAUAGAGGACCACCAGUGGCGAAGGCGGUCUACCAGAACGCGUUCGACGGUGAGGGAUGAAAGCUGGGGGAGCAAACCGGAUUAGAUACCCGGGUAGUCCCAGCUGUAAACGAUGCAAACUCGGUGAUGCAUUGGCUUAUGGCCAAUGCAGUGCCGCAGGGAAGCCGUUAAGUUUGCCGCCUGGGACGUACGGACGCAAGUCUGAAACUUAAAGGAAUAACGGGGGAGCAC
rnacentral:rRNA from 1 species